rnacentral:rRNA from 1 species
UACGUAGGGUGCAAGCGUUGUCCGGAAUUAUUGGGCGUAAAGAGUUCGUAGGCGGUUUGUCGCGUCUGCUGUGAAAACCCGAGGCUCAACCUCGGGCCUGCAGUGGGUACGGGCAGACUAGAGUGCGGUAGGGGAGAUUGGAAUUCCUGGUGUAGCGGUGGAAUGCGCAGAUAUCAGGAGGAACACCAAUGGCGAAGGCAGAUCUCUGGGCCGUAACUGACGCUGAGGAGCGAAAGCAUGGGGAGCGAACGGG